rnacentral:rRNA from 1 species
GCUGGUGACGAUGCGUUUUAGGGUCACACCCGUUCCCAUAUCGAACACGACGGUUAAGCCUAAGACGGCCGAUGGUACUUGGUGGGGGACUGCCUGGGAGAGUAGGAGGUUGCCAGCU